ensembl:misc_RNA 7SK 7SK RNA
GGAUGUGAGGGCGAUCUGGCUGCGACAUCUGUCACCCCAUUGAUCGCCAGGGUUGAUUCGGCUGAUCUGGCUGGCUAGGCGGGUGUCCCCUUCCUCCCUCACCGCUCCAUGUGCGUCCCUCCCGAAGCUGCGCGCUCAGUCCAAGAGGACGACCAUCCCCGAUAGAGGAGGACCGGUCUUCGGUCAAGGGUAUAUGAGUAGCUGCGCUUCCCUGCUAGAACCUCCAAACAAGCUCUCAAAAUUUAAGAGGCUUAUCUAGGGUUUUCUACUAAUCACAGUAUAAUAUUUCUAGCAUGAAUAUUUAAUUUAUCUUCAUUGGAA